GCUCUCGUAGCUUAGUGUUCAAAGCAUCGAUGCGUAAAGCCAAAGGUCCCGGGUUCGAUUCCCGGCGAGGGUA
rnacentral:tRNA from 1 species